GAAAUGCGAUAAGUAGUGUGAAUUGCAGAAUUCAGUGAAUCAUCGAAUCUUUGAACGCACAUUGCGCCCCUUGGUAUUCCAUGGGGCAUGCCUGUUCGAGCGUCAUUUGUACCCUCAAGCUCUGCUUGGUGUUGGGUGCUUGUCCCCGUCUCCGCGCGUGGACUCGCCCCAAAGUGAUUGGCAGCCGGCGUACUGAUCCCGGAGCGCAGCACAUGUCGCGCAAACGAGUGCCUUGGUACGGCGGCGUCCAUAAGCCCCUCUCUCACGCUCUUGACCUCGGAUCAGGUAGGGAUACCCGCUGAACUUAAGC
rnacentral:misc_RNA from 1 species